rnacentral:lncRNA from 1 species
UACAAAAUUAAUUUCCCAAUACACUUUACAGGAUAGGUGGAGAAACCCAUGAAGCACAACUGCAGUGGGUUAUAAAAAACGGCCUUUCGAGUUGAGCAAUAAAUUCGUUCGAGCAGCCAUUCUGAAGGACAAACGUGGCUCUGUAUUUAAGAGGGGCAUUCCAGCCCUUCUCUAGCCACUGGGUUGACAAUGACUCACCAAAGCCUCUGGUAGCCACCACAGGACACCCAGAGCAUAUGUUUUAAAGCUGAACACCAAACUGCGGACUUCAGGAGUUUUCACUAGUGAGUUCACAAAGUACUGUAUGCAUCUGUUUGAAGAUGGGCAGAAAUCUUGUGACCAUCUCACUGCCUUCCCAAGAGGAAAAUUUCAGAGCUGGCAUGUCCAUUAUGCAAGUAACGGAUUUCAGAAGAAGAAUUUUGAGGCUGGGUGCGGAGGCUCAUGCCUGUAAUCCUAGCACUUUGGGAGGCCGAAGCAAGUGGAACACUUGAAGUCAGGAGUUCAAGAACAGCCUGGCCAACAUGGUGAAACCCCGUCUCUACUAAAAAUACAAAAAAAAAUUAGCUGGGCAUGGUGGUGGACGCCUGUAAUCCUAGCUACUCGGAAGGGUGAGGUGGGAGAAUUGCUCGAACCCAAGAGUCAGAGUUUACAAUGAACCGAGAUUGCGCCACUGCACACUCCAUCCAGCCUGGGCGACAGAACGAGACUCCAUCUCAAAAAAAAAAGAAGAAUCUUAAAGAACGAUAGAACAUGUACGUGGAAGAGGAAGAUAGAAACAAAGGAAGUGGGAGAACUUCAGGCUUAGUAAGCUGUGCAGAAAAAAUUACCACUGAAAUGGGUGUGGGAAGAGACAAAGAGCAUUCAGGAGGAAAAAUGGCUGAGAAAAAGAGGGAAGGACAAUAGGGAAUGGAGAUGUUUAGAAAUCACCAUAGAAAAUAACAAACGUCGAGUGGAAAACUUUCCUUUUCUCCAAAUGACUUGCUCAAGUUCAUUCUGUUUUUUUGUUUGUUUGUUUUUGAGAUGUCUGAUGCCCAGGCUGGAGUGCAAUGGCACAAUCUCGGCUCACUGCAACCUCCGCCUCCAGGGUUCAAGUGAUUCUCCUGCCUCAGCCUCCCAAGUAGCUAGGAUUACAGGCACACACCACCACGCCCAGCUAAUUUUUGUAUUUUUAGUAGAGACAGGAUUUCACCAUGUUGGUCAGGCUGGUCUCGAACUCCUGACCUCGUGAUCUGCCCGUCUUGGUCUCCCAAAGUGCUGAGAUUUCAGGCGUGAGCCACCGUGCCCGGCCAAGUUCAUUCUUUAGCAGGCACUGGAAAGCUGGGAAAAAGCUGUUGGCCACGUACUCAGAAGAAUCAAGCUCCUCAGCAAGCUACUCAUAAAAAGUAUCUGUCUCAACCUGUUCACCUUCACCUCUCACCUGGUCUAGAAUUUUAACCUCUUCUCUCAUUCCUUUGGAUGGCAAACCAAAGUAUCAAUAAAAAACCAUCAUUAAGACUUUUUGAGGUAGGGAAGAGGCCCUGAAGGUUAUUUUAGUGUAGCACAAUGGAAUUUAUCAGAUUCACUGGUACUGUUUGAAAACACCAAGAGCCUGAUAUGGUCCACAACAAAGUGUUUGCACUGAGGGAAUUACAGGAAGAGGAAAGAUUGUAACUCAACGAUUGUACUCCUAAGGCUGCCUUCUAAGUAGGAGUCUCUAGAAAGCACCACACCUAGCAAAGUAGGCCCUGGGAUCUGAUUCCGG